rnacentral:rRNA from 1 species
CCUACGGGCGGCUGCAGUCGAGAAUCAUUCACAAUGGGGGAAACCCUGAUGGUGCGACGCCGCGUGGGGGAAUGAAGGUCUUCGGAUUGUAAACCCCUGUCAUGUGGGAGCAAAUUAAAAAGAUAGUACCACAAGAGGAAGAGACGGCUAACUCUGUGCCAGCAACCGCGGUAAUACAGAGGUCUCAAGCGUUGUUCGGAAUCACUGGGCGUAAAGCGUGCGUAGGCUGUUUCGUAAGUCGUGUGUGAAAGGCGCGGGCUCAACCCGCGGACGGCACAUGAUACUGCGAGACUAGAGUAGUGGAGGGGGAACCGGAAUUCUCGGUGUAGCAGUGAAAUGCGUAGAUAUCGAGAGGAACACUCGUGGCGAAGGCGGGUUCCUGGACAUUAACUGACGCUGAGGCACGAAGGCCAGGGGAGCGAAAGGGAUUAGAUACCCGAGUAGUC